rnacentral:rRNA from 1 species
ACUCAAAGGAAUAGACGGGGACCCGCACAAGCGGUGGAGCAUGUGGUUUAAUUCGAGGCUACGCGAAGAACCUUACCCAGGUUUGACAUGGUUAGGACAGUGCAUGAAAGUGCAUCUUCUCGCAAGAGACCUUUCCACAGGUGCUGCAUGGCUGUCGUCAGCUCGUGCUGUGAAGUGUUGGGUUAAGUCCCGCAACGAGCGCAACCUUUGUCUUUAGUUGCCAUCAGGUUAAGCUGGGCACUCUAGAGAGACUGCCGGUGAUAAACUGGAGGAAGGAGGAGACGACGUCAAGUCAGUAUGGCCCUUAUACCUGGGGCUACACACGUGCUACAAUGGCCGUUACAAAGGGCUGCUAUACCGUAAGGUGGCGCAAAUCCCAAAAAGACGGCCUCAGUUCAGAUCGAGGGCUGCAACUCGCCCUCGUGAAGUCGGAAUCGCUAGUAACGGUAGAUCAGCAUCGCUACCGUGAAUACGUUCCCGGGUCUUGCACACACCGCCCGU